UUAAGUUCUUGAAACUCAAAAAUUUUGGCGGUAUUUUAGUCUAUUCAGAGGAACCUGUAGAGUAAUUGAUAUUCCACGUUGGAUCUUACUUAAUCUUGUAUUUCAGUCUGUAUACCGCUGUUAUUUGAAGAUUUUAUAAGAAUAUUAAUUUUCUUAAUUUUUUAUAAAAAAGUAAAUCAAGUCAAGGUGCAGCAUAUGGUUAAGGUUUUUAUGGGUUACAAUAAAUUUAUUUAUAAUGGAUUAUUUCUUGCAAUAGAAAUUUGAAGGUGGAUUUGAUAGUAAAUUUUAAUAGAUUAUAAUUUUGAUUUUAGCUCUAAAAUAUGCACAUAUCGCCCGUCGCUCUUGUUAUUAAUAUAAGAUAAGUCGUAACAUAGUAGAUGUACUGGAAAGUGUAUCUAGAAUGACAAUUUAAAGCUUAUUAGUAAAGCAUUUCAUUUACACUGAAGAGAUUAUUGUGCGAUUCAAUAUAAAUUGAUUGAUUUAUAAUUAUUAUUUUUUUUUGUUGUAUUUUAAUUUAUUAAAAAUAAUUAUAUAGGUGAUUGUUUUAGUAUUUUUUAUGGAACUAAUAAUUUUAAUUAUAGUGUAUUAUAGUACCGUGAGGGAAUUU
rnacentral:rRNA from 1 species